GACGAACGCUGGCGGCGUGCCUAAUACAUGCAAGUAGAACGCUGAAGGAGGAGCUUGCUUCUCUGGAUGAGUUGCGAACGGGUGAGUAACGCGUAGGUAACCUGCCUGGUAGCGGGGGAUAACUAUUGGAAACGAUAGCUAAUACCGCAUAAUAGUAGAUGUUGCAUGACAUUUGCUUAAAAGGUGCAAUUGCAUCACUACCAGAUGGACCUGCGUUGUAUUAGCUAGUUGGUGAGGUAACGGCUCACCAAGGCAACGAUACAUAGCCGACCUGAGAGGGGGAUCGGCCACACUGGGACGGAGACACGGCCCAGACUCCUACGGGAGGCAGCAGGAGGGAAUCUUCGGCAAGGGACGGAAGUCUGACCGAGCAACGCCGCGUGAGUGAAGAAGGUUGUCGGAUCGUAAAGCUCUGUUGUAAGAGAAGAACGAGUGUGAGAGUGGAAAGUUCACACUGUGACGGUAUCUUACCAGAAAGGGACGGCUAACUACGUG
rnacentral:rRNA from 1 species